GUUUAUAUAGUUUAAUUAAAACGUUACAUUUUCGUUGUAAGGAUAAUUUAUUUGAAUUUAUAAAUA
rnacentral:tRNA from 1 species